UCUGUUUCCCAGCUGCCCUUGCUGAAGGCACUGAUUGACAGGCUGCUGCAGGACGGCAUGGAGGAGCUUCUGCUGGAGCUAACCACCUCUAGGAGAGUCAAUGAGAAGGAGAAACACGGCUCCAACAUUAUCACUGACUACACAAGAACUGUAAAGUAUGAGAUGUCCAAGGAACCUCUGACAGAGAUGGACACCAUAGAGGAGGCAGUUGAUUCUGACCUAGACAGACAGCUACCAGAACCUAACUCUGAUGCUUUGGAUGAAACGGCGGAGGGCCCCACAUUCUGGAGCCUCACCACUCUUAAUGGUCUUAAUGGGGUCCAAGACGUGGGGAGGAUAGAGAGCACCUCUGAGGGGACACUGACAGUGGACGAGGACUUCAGUGAAGCUCCCUCGCCCAAGUUGACUUUAUCAAACUCAACAUUUAACAACACUACGUCUGAAGAGAGGGUCUCUGAGGUACCAGGGGCAAUAGUAGAAACUGUUCUCCUCAGUGGGGAAGACUCCUUGAAGAAAAAGAAGAGUCGAGAACGGAAGGGCAAGGGACAGAAAGGACGACAUAAGAGGCAAAGAGAACGUCUGACGAGUACGGAGGAGGAGGAGGAAGCGGAGGAGGAAGCGGAGGAGGAGGAAUUAUACGAUGGGGAAGAGUACAGUUAUGAAUAUGAGGAUUCCACAGAUGAUCCUUUAUUGUCAAUGGAAAAGCAAGGGGAGUUUCAAAUCACAACAGAAAGCACACUACAUGGAAUGAGCAAAGAGAGUGGCCUGACAACUUUAGGUCCAUAUCCAUCCCAGUCACCGGGUGACAGUGAAAAGCAGGGGGAAUUCAUCACACCUAUCCUUCCCAGCACAACGGAAGAAACAGAGAAGAUUUUCCCAAAAGAAAGCCCAGCCCAGUGUUCAGUAACAUGA
rnacentral:lncRNA from 1 species